UUGUAAAUUUUUGGGAUAUUUAGACUUUGGGUCUCAAUUUUGUGACCAGCUUUGAGUUUGGGUCUUGAGAAAAUUUUAAUUAGAGUUUGGGUCCUGGACUAUAGUUGACCGUCUUAACAGUUACAUAAGCAGGUUAAAUGUAGAAACGACCAACUGAAAUUUGGAUUUUAGUUUAUUUA